CGGCGAGUGAAGCGGCAACAGCUCAAAUUUGAAAUCUGGCUCCUUUCGGGGUCCGAGUUGUAAUUUGUAGAGGGUGCUUUGGCGUUGGCCAUGGUCUAAGUUCCUUGGAACAGGACGUCACAGAGGGUGAGAAUCCCGUACGUGGCCGCUGGCCUUCGCCAUGUAAAGCCCCUUCGACGAGUCGAGUUGUUUGGGAAUGCAGCUCUAAAUGGGAGGUAAAUUUCUUCUAAAGCUAAAUAUUGGCCAGAGACCGAUAGCGCACAAGUAGAGUGAUCGAAAGAUGAAAAGCACUUUGGAAAGAGAGUCAAAAAGCACGUGAAAUUGUUGAAAGGGAAGCGCUUGCAGCCAGACUUGCUCGUAGUUGCUCAUCCAGGUUUCGGCCUGGUGCACUCUUCUGCGGGCAGGCCAGCAUCAGUCCAGGCGGCCGGAUAAAGGUCUCGGGAAUGUGGCUCUCUUCGGGGAGUGUUAUAGCCCGGGGCGCAAUGCGGCCAGCUUGGACUGAGGUCCGCGCAUCUGCUAGGAUGCUGGCGUAAUGGCUGUAAGCGGCCCGUCUUGAAACACGGACCAAGGAGUCUAACAUCUAUGCGAGUGUUUGGGUGUCAAGCCCGAGCGCGCAAUGAAAGUGAACGGAGGUGGGAACCCGCAAGGGCGCACCAUCGACCGAUCCUGAUGUCUUCGGAUGGAUUUGAGUAAGAGCAUAGCUGUUGGGACCCGAAAGAUGGUGAACUAUGCCUGAAUAGGGUGAAGCCAGAGGAAACUCUGGUGGAGGCUCGCAGCGGUUCUGACGUGCAAAUCGAUCGUCAAAUUUGGGCAUAGGGGCGAAA
rnacentral:rRNA from 1 species